GCCACCUCCCUCCACACGUGGGGUCAUCACUGCUGCCAGCCGCUUGUCCCUGGACCGGGCUCCUGCGGCCUUGGCUCCCGACCAGCUCACCCUAUUUAGUGUCUCUGACAAAAUCGGGCCUUGUGGAAUUUUCAAGAAAACUAACUUCUCUUGGUUCGAAUCUAAUCACUUCCAGAGGGACUGCAAAAGCUCUCAGGGAUGCUGGGCUAGCCAUCAGAGAUGUCUCUGAGCCGAGGGAAUUUCCUGAAAUGUUGGGGGGAUGUAUGAAAUCUUUGCAUCCUGCAGUUCAUGCAGGAAUCCUAGAUCCUAACAUUCCAGAAGAUAAUGCUGCCAUGGCCAGACUUGAUUUCAAUCUUAUAAGAGUUGUGCUUGUAAUCUGCGUCCCUUUGUGAAGCAGUGGCUUCUCCAAAUGUAACUGUCAAGGAAGCUGUUGAGCAAAUUGAUAUUGGCGGAGUAACCUUAGUGAGAGCCGCAGCCAAAAACCAUGUUCGAGCGACAGUGGUAUGUGAACCAGAGGACUAUGCAGCAGUGUCCACAGAUGCUGAGCUCCGAGAGUAAAGAUGCCUCCUGGGAGACUAGACACCAGUUAGCCUUGAAGGUAUUCACUCAUAUGGCACAAUAUGAUGAAGCAAUUCCGGAUUACUUCAGGAAACAGUACAGCAAAGGGAUAUCUCAGAUGCCCUUGUGGUAUGAAAUGAACCCUCAUCAGACUCGUGUUCGGCUGUACACAAUGAAGCCCAAGCUUCCCAUCACAGUUCUAAAUGGAGCUCCUAGAUUUCUAAACUUGUAUGAUGCUUUGAAUGCCUGGCAGCUGGUGAAGGAACUCAAAAGAGACAUUAUAGGCACUCCAGCUGCUGCCUGUUUCAAACAUGUCAGCCCCGCAGGUGCUGCUCAGCGAAGAUGAGGUCAAGGUCUACAAGGUCUCUGAUCUCCAUAAAACCCUUACUCCCAUAUCAACGGCAUAUGCAAGAGCAAGAGGGGCUGAUAAGACGUCUUCAUUUGGUGAUUUUGUUGCAUUAUCUGAUGUUUGUGAUGUACCGACUCUGAAAAUUAUAUCCAGAGAAGUAUGGUAUUAUUGCCCUGGGAUAUGAAGAAGCCUUGAAAAUACUUUCUAGAAAGAAAAAUGGAAACUACUGUGUUCUCCAGUUUUAUAAACCAGAUGAAAAUGAAAUUCAAAAACUCUUCAGUCUUUGUUUAGGCCAGAAGAGAAAUAAUGGUAUCAUCAACAGGUCGUUAUUUAGCAAUGUCGUUACCAAGAAUAAAGAUUUGCCGCAGUCUGCCCUCAGGGACCUCAUCGCGGCCACCAUUGCUGUCCAGUACACUCAGUCAAACUCUGAGUGCUACUCUAAGAACGGGCAGAUUAUUAGCAUUGGAGCAGGACAACAGUCUCAGAUACACUGCACAUGCCUUGCAGGGGAUAAGGCAAGCUCUUGGUGGCUUAGACACCAUCCACAAGAGCUUGCAAUGAAGUUUCAAACAGGAGCAAAGAGAGCAGAAAUCUCCAAUGCCAUCGACCAAUAUAUGAUUGCAACAAUCAGCAAGUAUGAAGAUUUGAUAACGUGGAAGGCACUGUUUGAGGAGGUCCCUGAAUUAUGAACUGAGGCAGAGAAGAAGGAGUGGGUUGGCAAACUAAGUGAAGUUUCUGUCAGCUCUGAUGCAUCUUUCAUUUCAGUGAUAGUGUAGAUAGAGCUUAAAGGAGUGGUGUGGCAUACACUGCUGCUAGCUCUGGAUCUGCUGCUGACAAAGGUGUGACCGAGGUUCGUGAUGAACCGGGAAUAAUCCUAGCUCACAUGAAUCUUCACUCUCCCACCACCGAUUUUUAUCACACGUUAUUUUAUGGUCUGCAGAUGUGCAGGUGA